GGGGUUGUAGCUCAGCUGGUUAGAGCGCUUCGUUCGCAACGAAGAGGUCGGGAGUUCGAGUCUCCUCAACUCCACCA
rnacentral:tRNA from 1 species